CGUCGGGUUCCUCCUCUACGGACUCCGCCCCGGUGGCCUCCUCACGCUCCACCUCACCGAGAUCCUCCACCGCCAUCUUGUCGUUCCCGCCACCAUCCUCCGCAACCGUAACACUAGCCUCCGACGACUCGGGAGGGGUCGCCGCCACAACCGGAGGGGGCGCCGGAGAGGUCUCUGGCGGGGCGGCAGCGGGAGUGGUCUCCGCCGCAACCGGAGGGGGCGCCGGAGAGGUCUCUGGCGGGGCGGCCGCGGGAGGGGUCUCCGCCACGGACGGAGGGGGCGCCGGGGAUCUCUCUGGGGGGGCGGCCGCGGCCGCGGCCCGCCGGAGUUUCUUGGCUUUGGCUGGAGGCAUGAGGAAGGUCGCCGAGGGUUUGCUGUGUUGAGGUUGGGUGUCGUGGUUCAACGGCGAGGGUGGAGAUUGGAG
rnacentral:rRNA from 1 species